GUGGCUAUGUCAGAUUAUAUGAGUUAGCUUUAAGCGUUAAUUAUGGGAAACUUCCCUAGUCACU
rnacentral:tRNA from 1 species